rnacentral:rRNA from 1 species
AUUGAACGCUGGCGGCAGGCCUAACACAUGCAAGUCGAACGAGUGGCGGACGGGUGAGUAAUGUCUGGGAAACUGCCUGAUGGAGGGGGAUAACUACUGGAAACGGUGGCUAAUACCGCAUACUAUCGGAUGUGCCCAUAUGGGAUUAGCUAGUAGGUGGGGUAAAGGCUCACCUAGGCGACGAUCCCUAGCUGGUCUGAGAGGAUGACCAGCCACACUGGGACUGAGACACGGCCCAGACUCCUACGGGAGGCAGCAGUGGGGAAUAUUGCACAAUGGGCGCAAGCCUGAUGCAGCCAUGCCGCGUGUAUGAAGAAGGCCUUCGGGUUGUAAAGUACUUUCAGCGGGGAGGCGUUACCCGCAGAAGAAGCACCGGCUAACUCCGUGCCAGCCGCCGCGGUAAUAC